GAUUAGCUGGUUGGAGGGGUAAUGGCCCACCAAGGCGACGAUCAGUAGCCGGCCUGAGAGGGUGAACGGCCACAUUGGGACUGAGACACGGCCCAGACUCCUACGGGAGGCAGCAGUGGGGAAUAUUGCACAAUGGGGGAAACCCUGAUGCAGCGACGCCGCGUGAAGGAAGAAGUAUCUCGGUAUGUAAACUUCUAUCAGCAGGGAAGAAAAUGACGGUACCUGACUAAGAAGCCCCGGCUAACUACGUGCCAGCAGCCGCGGUAAUACGUAGGGGGCAAGCGUUAUCCGGAUUUACUGGGUGUAAAGGGAGCGUAGACGGAAGAGCAAGUCUGAUGUGAAAGGCUGGGGCUUAACCCCAGGACUGCAUUGGAAACUGUUUUUCUAGAGUGCCGGAGAGGUAAGCGGAAUUCCUAGUGUAGCGGUGAAAUGCGUAGAUAUUAGGAGGAACACCAGUGGCGAAGGCGGCUUCCUGGACGGUAACUGACGUUGAGGCUCGAAAGCGUGGGGGGCGAACAGGAUUAGAUACCCUGGUAGUCCACGCCGU
rnacentral:rRNA from 1 species